GACGAACCGUGCGAACGUUGUUCGGAUUUACUGGGCGUAAAAGGCGCGUAGGCGGCAUGACAAGUCACUUGUGAAAUCUCCGGGCUUAACUCGGAACGGCCAAGUGAAACUGUCAAGCUAGAGUGCAGAAGGGGCAAUCGGAAUUCUUGGUGUAGCGGUGAAAUGCGUAGAUAUCAAGAGGAACACCUGAGGUGAAAUACGGGUUGCUGGGCUGACACUGACGCUGAGGCGCGAAAGCCAGGGGAGCAAACGGG
rnacentral:rRNA from 1 species